ACUCCCAGAGGAGUAUAACUGGGGAGAGUUUUUCUCAUAAGUUGGGUUUACUUUGUGUUUGCUCCUGGAAGCCUUGCUGAAAGUUGAGCUUGCUGAACAUUUGCUGGAAGCCUUGCUGCUUAGCAUAAAACUUCUGACUGGCUGCAGCUCCAUUUUAUGCUGGCCAGUACAGUAUUUUUACAUCCAAGGAACACUAGAAGAUUUAUUUCUAUGGACUAUGUAUCAGCCCCGUCUGAUGUUUGGCCACCAUGGGAUGAUCUUGAUCUACACCGACCUAAGUGGUAAGUAGAUGAGGCCUAAGUCAUGAAGAAAUAUAGAAAUAGGUAUGUUUGACCAU
rnacentral:lncRNA from 11 species